GACGAACCGUGCGAACGUUGUUCGGAAUCACUGGGCUUAAAGGGCGCGUAGGCGGGUCAUCAAGUCAGGGGUGAAAUACUUCGGCCUAACCGGAGAACGGCUUCUGAUACUGGUGACCUCGAGGGGUGUAGGGGCAUGUGGAACUUCCGGUGGAGCGGUGAAAUGCGUAGAUAUCGGAAGGAACGCCGGUGGCGAAAAGCGACGUGCUGGACACCUUUCUGACGUGAGGCGCGAAAAGCCCAGGGGGGAGCAAAACGGGGAUUUAGAAAAACCCCCUGGUAGUCCCAGACCCAAAGUCUCUGCUACCCGUAA
rnacentral:rRNA from 1 species